rnacentral:rRNA from 1 species
AUUGAACGCUGGCGGCAUGCCUUACACAUGCAAGUCGAACGGCAGCACGGGAGCAAUCCUGGUGGCGAGUGGCGAACGGGUGAGUAAUGUAUCGGAACGUGCCCAGUCGUGGGGGAUAACGCAGCGAAAGCUGUGCUAAUACCGCAUACGAUCUAUGGAUGAAAGCGGGGGAUCGCAAGACCUCGCGCGAUUGGAGUGGCCGAUAUCAGAUUAGCUAGUUGGUGGGGUAAAAGCUUACCAAGGCGACGAUCUGUAGCUGGUCUGAGAGGACGACCAGCCACACUGGAACUGAGACACGGUCCAGACUCCUACGGGAGGCAGCAGUGGGGAAUUUUGGACAAUGGGCGCAAGCCUGAUCCAGCAAUGCCGCGUGCAGGAUGAAGGCCUUCGGGUUGUAAACUGCUUUUGUACGGAGCGAAAAGGCUCUCUCUAAUACAGGGGGCUCAUGACGGUACCGUAAGAAUAAGCACCGGCUAACUACGUGCCAGCCGCCGCAGUAA